AUCUACGGCCACACCGCGCUGAACAUUCUGGAUCUCAUCUGAUCUCAGAAGCUAAGCAGGGUCAGUCCUGGUUAGUACUUGGAUGGAAGACCACCUAGGAAUACCAGGUGCUGUAGGCA
rnacentral:rRNA from 1 species